rnacentral:rRNA from 1 species
GGUAGCGCAAUCACUUGUCUUUUAAAUGGAGACCUGUAUGAAUGGCAAGACGAGGGCUUAACUGUCUCCUCUUUUUGGUCAGUGAAAUUGAUCUACCCGUGCAGAAGCGGGUAUAAGAAUACAAGACGAGAAGACCCUUUGGAGCUUAAGACCUAAGACCAAUCCCUGUUAAGUUAUUAACUUAAUAUUAAUAAAAACAAUUAAGAUACCUGGCCUACGUCUUCGGUUGGGGCGACCACGGGGGAAAACAAAGCCCCCAUGUGGAAUGGGGUUUUAAACCCUAGAUCCAAGAGAGACAUCUCUAAGCCACAGAACAUCUGACCUAAUUAGAUCCGGCCCCUUUGGCCGAUUAACGAACCAAGUUACCCUAGGGAUAACAGCGCAAUCCCCUUUAAGAGUCCAUAUCGACGAGGGGGUUUACGACCUCGAUGUUGGAUCAGGACAUCCUAAUGGUGCAGCCGCUAUUAAGGGUUCGUUUGUUCAACGAUUAA